rnacentral:rRNA from 1 species
UACGAGGGGGGCGAGCGUUACUCGGAAUUACUGGGCGUAAAGGGUGCGUAGGUGGUUUGUUAAGUCUGCUGUGAAAUCCCCGGGCUCAACCUGGGAAUGGCAGUGGAUACUGGCAAGCUAGAGUGCGGUAGAGGGUAGUGGAAUUCCCGGUGUAGCAGUGAAAUGCGUAGAGAUCGGGAGGAACACCAGUGGCGAAGGCGGCUACCUGGACCAGCACUGACACUGAAGCACGAAAGCGUGGGGAGCAAACAGG